rnacentral:rRNA from 1 species
AUCGAACGCUGGCGGCAGGCCUAAUACAUGCAAGUCGAACGCGUGGCGGACGGGUGAGUCAUGUCUGGAAAACUCCCUUAUGGAGGGGGCAAACUACUGGAAACGGUAGCUAUUACCGCAUACCAUCGGCUUUGCCCAGAGGGGAUUAGCUAGUAGGUGGGGUAACGGCUCACCUAGGCGACGAUCCCUAGCUGGUCUGAGAGGAUGACCAGCCACACGGGAACUGAGACACGGUCCAGACUCCUACGGGAGGCAGCAGUGGGGAAUAUUGCACAAUGGGCGCAAGCCUGAUGCAGCAAUGCCGCGUGUAUGAAGAAGGCCUUCGGGUUGUAAAGUACUUUCAGCGGGGAAGCGUUACCCGCAGAAGAAGCACCGGCUAACUCCGUGCCAGCAGCCGCGGUAAUAC